UCCGGUAUGGUCUAGUGGCUAGGAUACCUGGCUUUCACCCAGGAGGCUUGGGUUCGAUUGCCGGUACCGGAA
rnacentral:tRNA from 1 species